rnacentral:rRNA from 1 species
ACGCCGAGCGGAACCCGAAAGCCCCUCCUCAGUUCGGAUCGGAGUCUGCAACCCGACUCCGUGAAGCUGGAUUCGCUAGUAAUCGCGCAUCAGCCAUGGCGCGGUGAAUACGUUCCCGGGCCUUGUACACACCGCCCGUCAAGCCAUGGGAGCCGGGAGCGCUUGAAGUGCGUCGCCGCGAGGCGCGCCCUAGAGCGAGACCGGUGACUGGAGCUAAGUCGUAACAAGGUACC